rnacentral:RNase_P_RNA from 1 species
CGGUCUUGUGGGGGGGGUUGCUAAUGCUGGCCAGAACUCUCGACAGGGCAACGCGCCUGGUAACGCCAGGGGGCUUCGUCCGAAAGGCGAGGCCACGGAUAGUGCCACAGAAAAUUAAACCGCCGGCGCAGCGCAGCACGGUGGCAUCGCGCAGGGAAACCUGCGAGACGUCUCACAAUGCUCGCAUCGUUGGUAAGGGUGAAAAGGUGGGGUAAGAGCCCACCGCUUCGCCAGCAAUGGCGAGGGCACGGAAAACCCCGCGUGGUGCAAGGCCAAAUAGGAGGGGAGAGCUGGCCCGGCUCAUUGAGCGCCGUUCGUGCAAACGAGCGCGCUCCGUUCACGUGGCGCAAGCCGCGUGAAUCGAAAACCCUCGGGUAGGCUGCUGGAGUCUCGGUGCGAACCGGGACCUAGAGGAAUGAUUGCCGCGGUUUGCAGCGCGCCAUGCGCGUUGCAACUCCGCACAGAAUCCGGCUUACAGGCCCGUCCGCUAU